rnacentral:lncRNA from 1 species
UGCCGCAGCUGGUGGGCCACGUGCCGCAGCCCAGCGCUGGCGGUGCCCAGCUCCCGUGUCACCUCGGCCACCUCCCGCCGGGCGCUGUCCCUGUCCCUCUCCCUCUGCUCCAACCUCCGCCCCAGCUCCGCCGCGCGCCGCUGCGCCCUGCCACGGGGACACGGGGACACGGGGACACGGGGACGUGGAGCCCCCCCCGGGGACACAGGUGGCCCGCACCCAGCGACCCGAUGUCCUGUGCGUCGGUGACACAGAUGCCACCACCCCAUGGGGACACAGGUGUCCUGCCCCACGGAUCCUGGUGUCUCAUCCCAUGGGGACACAAAUGUCACCACCCUUGGGGACCUGGGUGUCCUACCCCACGGUGACACAGAUGUCCCACCCCAUGGCGACCCAGCUGUCACCACUCCUGGGUACCCAUCUGUCCCACCCCACGGUGCCACGGGUGCCACCAACCUUGAGGACCCCCACGUCCCCCCCCCGGCGCAGGGCUCUCACCGUGCCCGCUGUCCCCCCCCUCGGUGUCUCCUGUGCUGCAGCUCCAGCUCCAGCGCCGUCACCUCGUCCCGCAGCCGCCCCAAUGUCACCGCGUUGCUGCGGGCCACCGCCGCCAGCCGCUGCCCCACGGCCAGCCGGGCACCGCGCUGCCCCACGGCCUGCCCCACGGCCUGCCCCACGGCCUGCCCCACCUGGGGGCACGGGGACAGAGGGACACGCGGUGGCGUGGGGACGCAGGGACGCGGCGGGGCUGAGCGUGGGUGUGGGGCGCAGGGACGUGGGGACACACGGGGACAUGUGGGGACGUGGGGACAUGGGGGGCAGCCCCACAUCAUGGGGACACCCCCACCUUAUGGGGACACGUGGGGACGUGGGGACACCCCCACAUCAUGGGGACAUCGCCACGGGGGCAGAUGGGGACACCCCCGCUUGAUGGGGACACGUGGGGACACACAGGGACAU